GAGGAAUAUUGGUCAAUGGGCGCAAGCCUGAACCAGCCAUCCCGCGUGCAGGAAGACGGCGCUAUGCGUUGUAAACUGCUUUUCCAGGGGGAGAAUGAUUUUGAUGUAUCGAGAUUUGACGGUACCCUGGGAAUAAGCAUCGGCUAACUCCGUGCCAGCAGCCGCGGUAAUACGGAGGAUGCGAGCGUUAUCCGGAUUUAUUGGGUUUAAAGGGUGCGUAGGCGGAUUGAUAAGUCAGUGGUGAAACCCUGCAGCUUAACUGUAGGCUUGCCGUUGAUACUGUCAGUCUUGAGUGUGGUCAAGGUAGGCGGAAUGUGUAAUGUAGCGGUGAAAUGCUUAGAUAUUACACAGAACACCGAUUGCGAAGGCAGCUUGCUGGACCAUUACUGACGCUGAUGCACGAAAGCGUGGGGAUCGAACAG
rnacentral:rRNA from 1 species